rnacentral:lncRNA from 1 species
UUGGUUGAUUCUCCAGUGGAUUUUUCUCCACCAAAUCGCUUCUGAGGCCCGUCUACCGAGGUGACGUCACACAAAGCAGGGCCAGUCCCUUGGUCUCCUGCUGUGCCCCAGGCAUGGCAUCCGAUUCCAGGAGGACGAGGCGGCCGGCCCUGAGCUCGGGCAUCGGGUCUGCUGCUAUGAUCCAGCACUCGCACCCCUGGGG